rnacentral:tRNA from 16 species
AAUAUCGUGGUGUAGUGGUUAUCACAUCUGUCUAACCCACAGAAGGCCGGCGGUUCGAGCCUGCACGAGAAAA